AGCCGCGGUAAUACGUAGGUGCCAAGCGUUGUCCGGAAUUAUUGGGCGUAAAGCGCGCGCAGGCGGUCCUUUAAGUUUGAUGUGAAAGCCCCACGGGCUCAACCGUGGAGGGUCAUUGAAAACUGGGGGGACUUGAGUGCAGAAGAGAAAGAGUGAAUUUCCACGUGAGCGGUGAAAUGCGUAGAGAGGGGAGGAACACCCGUGGGGAAGGGGACUUUUUGGUUNGUUAACGACGGUGAGGCGNGAAAGGGUGGGGAGCCAACCAGAUUAGAUACCCUGGUAGUUCACCCCGUAAACGAUGAGUGGUAAGUGUUAGAGGGUUUCCGCCCUUUAGUGGUGCAGCAAACGCAUUAAGCACUCCGCCUGGGGAGUACGGCCGCAAGGCUGAAACUCAAAGGAAUUGACGGGGGCCCGCACAAGCGGUGGAGCAUGUGGUUUAA
rnacentral:rRNA from 1 species